GAUCAGAUUGGAUUGGAUCGGAUAUACCUGAAAUCUCUAUAUAACUUUAAAAAAAGUUUAUGUAAUGGACCAGAGUCUAAUAAAUUAAAAAUUUUGUAACUAAAGAAGAAUUUUUUCAAUCAAAAAUCUCCAACUCUACUAAAUAUCAUGCUUCUACCAAGAUUAAGCUCUCAAAACCUCAAGGAACCAACUCACACCACCACAAC
rnacentral:lncRNA from 1 species